GACGAACGCUGGCGGCGUGCUUAACACAUGCAAGUCGAACGGAAGGGCCCUGCUUUUGUGGGGUGCUCGAGUGGCGAACGGGUGAGUAGCACGUGAGUAACCUGCCCUUGACUUUGGGGUAACUUCAGGAAACUGGGGCUAAUACCGGAUAGGAGCUCCUGCUGCAUGGUGGGGGUUGGAAAGUUUCGGCGGUUGGGGAUGGACUCGCGGCUUAUCAGCUUGUUGGUGGGGUAGUGGCUUACCAAGGCUUUGACGGGUAGCCGGCCUGAGAGGGUGACCGGCCACAUUGGGACUGAGAUACGGCCCAGACUCCUACGGGAGGCAGCAGUGGGGAAUAUUGCACAAUGGGCGGAAGCCUGAUGCAGCAACGCCGCGUGCGGGAUGACGGCCUUCGGGUUGUAAACCGCUUUCGCCUGUGACGAAGCGUGAGUGACGGUAAUGGGUAAAGAAGCACCGGCUAACUACGUG
rnacentral:rRNA from 1 species